UACAGAGGGUGCAAGCGUUGUUCGGAAUUAUUGGGCGUAAAGGGCGCGUAGGCGGUGCGGUAAGUCUGUUGUGAAAUCUCUGGGCUCAACUCAGAGUCUGCAACGGAAACUGCCGUGCUUGAGUAUGGGAGAGGUGAGUGGAAUUCCCGGUGUAGCGGUGAAAUGCGUAGAUAUCAGGAGGAACACCUGUGGCGAAAGCGGCUCACUGGACCAUAACUGACGCUGAGGCGCGAAAGCUAGGGGAGCAAACAGGAUUAGAAACCCGAGUAGUCC
rnacentral:rRNA from 1 species